UGUUGAUGAAACCCAGGUUGUAGCCGUGC
rnacentral:piRNA from 1 species